ensembl:lncRNA novel transcript
AGGUGAAAGUCUUUCAGAAUAUAGAUUUAAGAAGAAAAUUAAAACAUGAUAAAAAUAAAGCAGUAAUGAAGAAAGGGAUGUAAACAAACUAUGGGUAUGAAGACGCAUUACUGAAAGGUCAUUUAAAACCACGUGAAACCAUAUGUUAAAGAAGAAACUGAUGAAGAUGGCAACAGAUGAAACUAAAUGUUAUUAAAAUAUGAAAAGGUAUUGUUUGAAUGAUCCAAAAAUAGUAUUAAAUAUUAAAAAUUAAAAUAGACAUUUCUUUAUUAUUAUAUAAUAUUUUUUCAUUAACUGUAUUUGCAACAAAAUGAGUAUAUACCAACAUGUAAAUUUUGGAAUAUUAAUUUUUGAAAAUUUAUUAUAAUUAAUCAUUUUAAUACUAUAUCAAAUGAAAAUAAAAUUUUAACUAUUCAACAAUAAGAUGUAUUUCU